UCAAAUGCUAGGCAUGUGAAAGAAGCAAGGACAAUGGUGAAGCUCCCACAGUGCUGGCAUUUAGGUGAUUAGGUAUAUGUGUCUAUGACCGAGAAGCGCUGCGCAUCGGCCUGGUAAAUCCAAUCGUUUCCACGGAUGUCCUGUCGCCUGUCCGUAAAUUUAAGCAUCCUCGAUUCCCAAAUUGUCCAUGGGAUUCCUGAAGGAUGAUUGAAACGCGGAAUAUCGCUACUAGUUCUCCGAAAAAUACGAAAUGUGUAUAUCACAGUCGUAUUUUGAAAAAGUGUACACUCUAAAGUUUUUUAUACUAUACUUUUGUAUUGAUAUUUUUUGAAAUGGUGGAAGCUAAAAAGUGCUCAAAGAAAAAAACUUACAAGACAAAAAAGGUCGCCCGCCUCACCAAUAAUGGCUAUUUAAACUUUUUACGAGAUUUCAAGAAAAAAAAUAGCGGACUCCUGCCGCGAGAGAUGGUCAUGCGUGGUACUAAGGCUUGGUGUCGACUAAACAAACAGCAGAAGGAGAGAUACCGCAAAAUGAAAAGGACUAGCCGACGUGGCUAGCCAAUAAAAGGCCAAAACCAGCAAAGGGGCAACAAAGUACCAGCCGCUGAUCUUGGGCAGGUCUGUCCAUAAUGUCGUAUAUGUCUAUAUUGAGUUAUAUUUCUUAGGUAGGUCGCAUUUUUCAUACGAUAUCAGUCCUAGUGUUUCUAAAUAACCAUUGCGUCGUUGCCGAACCCAGAGGAAAACCAAACCGCCACUGCUUAGUCUUAGCCUCUUGCUAAAAUAUGCCAUUAGUGUCGUAAAUUUCCAGUGUAAUUAAAAUUAAAUAAUGUCUAGUAUUUUAUCUUGAAUUAUACUUCCUUUUAUAAAGGAUAUACUGCGAAGGAGUA